rnacentral:tRNA from 1 species
UGGCUCAGUUGGAAGAGCAUGGUGUUUGCAAUGCCAGGGUUGUGGGUUCGAUUCCCAU